UACGGAGGGUGCAAGCGUUAUCCGGAUUCACUGGGUUAAAGGGUGCGUAGGUGGGUUGGUAAGUCAGUGGUGAAAUCCCCGAGCUUAACUUGGGAACUGCCAUUGAUACUAUUAAUCUUGAAUACCGUGGAGGUUAGCGGAAUAUGUCAUGUAGCGGUGAAAUGCUUAGAUAUGACAUAGAACACCAAUUGCGAAGGCAGCUGGCUACACGAAUAUUGACACUGAUGCACGAAAGCGUGGGGAUCAAACAGG
rnacentral:rRNA from 1 species